rnacentral:rRNA from 1 species
UACGAAGGGUGCAAGCGUUACUCGGAAUCACUGGGCGUAAAGCGCGUGUAGGCGGUCCGGUAAGUCCGCUGUGAAAGUCGGGGGCUCAACCCUCGGAUGCCGGUGGAUACUGUCGGGCUUGAGUACGGAAGAGGCGAGUGGAAUUCCUGGUGUAGCGGUGAAAUGCGCAGAUAUCAGGAGGAACACCAAUUGCGAAGGCAGCUCGCUGGGACGUUACUGACGCUGAGACGCGAAAGCGUGGGGAGCAAACAGG